rnacentral:rRNA from 1 species
AUUGAACGCUGGCGGCAGGCCUAACACAUGCAAGUCGAACGAGUGGCGGACGGGUGAGUAAUGUCUGGGAAACUGCCUGAUGGAGGGGAUAACCACCGGAAACGGUAGCUAAAACCGCAAACCCACCGAUGUGCCCCGAUGGGAUUAGCUUGUUGGGGGGGUAACGGCUCACCAAGGCGAAGAUCCCUAGCGGGUCUGAGAGGAUGACCAGCCAAACUGGAACUGAGACACGGUCCAGACUCCUCCGGGAGGCAGCAGUGGGGAAUAUUGCACAAUGGGCGCAAGCCUGAUGCAGCCAUGCCGCGUGUAUGAAGAAGGCCUUCGGGUUGUAAAGUACUUUCAGCGGGGAGGCGUUACCCGCAGAAGAAGCACCGGCUAACUCCGUGCCAGCAGCCGCGGUAAUAC